AAGUCGUAACAAGGUAACCGUAGGUGAACCUGCGGUUGGAUCAUUAAUAUAAACAAUGAUUCCGGCGCUCCAGCAACAAGCGUUACAUUUCGAUGUACGUGGGCUGCAGGCUUGGAGGCAACUCACUCUAGUUAGUGAGUGUCUGAAACAUUUUGUGAACUGUACCCGUCUCUGGCAGCGGGGUGGCUUGAAAACCCACCUGUCUACUCUCUGUUGGACAACGCUGCCAGCCAACCUUGUCAUAUACAUUUUUAUCAUGUCUUAAAAAAAAUUGUAUUUUCAUAUAAUGCAAACAAAAACAACUUUUGGCAACGGAUCUCUUGGCUCUC
rnacentral:misc_RNA from 1 species